CCUCACUAACUGGAUCAGAGUCUGAAAAACUUAAAAAUUUUCAUGUUGUCAUCUACUUUCGUCUAUUGUUUGUCCCACGAGAAUGGAGUUAAAUAACAGCAUUAAAUUC